AAAAACGGAAAGAGCAUGCUCUUUCAAAAUGAGUGGCAACGGAGGAGUAACAGUAACAACCUGCCUUCAGGAUGGGACAACAGACGGAAACGACUGCUAAACCGAAUAAGUUCCAAGAGCCGCAUGGCCCCAUGGAAGAAAAAGGUGGCCUCUACCUGUAAGCUAUCGCCUGAAGAGGGGGUUUGCGUCUGAUUAGCUGGUUGGAAGGGGUAACGGCCCACCAAAGGCGACGAUCAGUAGCCGGUCUGAGAGGAUGAAACGGCCACACUGGAACUGAGACACGGUCCAGACUCCUACGGGAGGCAGCAGUGGGGAAUCUUCCGCAAUGGGCGAAAGCCUGACGGAGCAACGCCGCGUGAGUGAUGACGGCCUUCGGGUUGUAAAACUGUAUGAUCCGGGACGAAAAGGCAGAGUGCGAAGAACAAACUGCAUUGCCGGUACCGGAAAAGCAAGCCACGGCUAACUACGUGCCAGCAGCCGCGGUAAUACGUAGGUGGCAAGCGUUGUCCGGAAUUAUUGGGCGUAAAGCGCGCGCAGGCGGCUUCCCAAGUCCCUCUUAAAAGUGCGGGGCUUAACCCCGUGAUGGGAAGGAAACUGGGAAGCUGGAGUAUCGGAGAGGAAAGUGGAAUUCCUAGUGUAGCGGUGAAAUGCGUAGAGAUUAGGAAGAACACCGGUGGCGAAGGCGACUUUCUGGACGAAAACUGACGCUGAGGCGCGAAAGCGUGGGGAGCAAACAGG
rnacentral:rRNA from 1 species